UACGUAGGGGGCAAGCGUUGUUCGGAAUUACUGGGCGUAAAGGGCGCGUAGGCGGCACGGCAAGUCAGGAGUGAAAGCCCUGGGCUCAACCCGGGAACUGCUUUUGAAACUGCCGAGCUAGAGUGCGGAAGGGGCAACUGGAAUUCCCAGUGUAGCGGUGAAAUGCGUAGAUAUUGGGAAGAACACCUGAGGCGAAGGCGGGUUGCUGGGCCGACACUGACGCUGAUGCGCGAUAGCCAGGGGAGCGAACGGG
rnacentral:rRNA from 1 species